AGGAGUGUGCCCACUCAGCUCCUGGGGUUGCUGCUGCUGUGGCUUACAGAUGCCAGAUGUGACAUUCAGGUGACUCAGUCUCCAGCCUCCCUGUCUGCAUUGCUGGGAGAAAGUGUCACCAUCACAUGUCAAGCAAGUGAGAAUAUUUACAAGUAUUUAACAUGGUAUCAGCAAAAACCAGGGACAUCUCUCCAUCUCCUCAUUUAUGGUGCAAUCAGCUUGGCCGGUUCAGUGGCAGUGGAUCUGGCACACGGUAUUCCGUAAAGAUUAACAGUUUGCAGCCUGAAGAUCUUGCAACUUAUUACUGUCAAAUUGCUUUAAAUACCCCUUC